rnacentral:rRNA from 1 species
GACGUAGGGCGCGAGCGUUGUCCGGAAUUACUGGGCGUAAAGGGCUCGUAGGCGGCCAACUAAGUCGGACGUGAAAUCCCUCAGCUUAACUGGGGAACUGCGUCCGAUACUGGAUGGCUUGGAUUUGGGAGAGGGAUGCGGAAUUCCAGGUGUAGCGGUGAAAUGCGUAGAUAUCUGGAGGAACACCGGUGGCGAAGGCGGCAUCCUGGACCAAUAUUGACGCUGAGGAGCGAAAGCCAGGGGAGCAAACGGG